rnacentral:lncRNA from 1 species
CUGCUGGUAGGAAUUCCUCAGGGCGUAUUACGGUUUUUCACCGAGGGGGUGGCUCGAAGCGAUUGCUGCGAAGAAUUGAUCUGAAACGAAGCACUUCCUCUAUGGGCAUUGUAGAGAGUAUAGAAUAUGACCCUAAUCGUUCUUCUCAGAUCGCUCCAGUACGAUGGAUCAAGGGGGGCUGCCAGAAAAAAAUGAACACGAUCGAGGAGUUAGCUCCGCCGCGCAAGAUCCUCGAACCUACCACGAACACCAUCAGCGGCCUCUUUUCGUUCUCUUUCCUGCCCGGGAAGGUGGAUCAAAGAAAGGUAGCUUGCUUCUCUCCUGGACUGAUGGCCGCUUAUGUAGUGGUCGGCCUUCCUACCGGAAUGCCUCCUUUGUCUUCGUAUAAGAGCGCCUUUGCUAGUAAGGGCGCAGGAAGCACAAAAACUUUAGUGAAGGACGUCUUCUUCUCUGCCUUCUCCUCUCCAAAGGCCAAGAGAGAGACUGCAUCCCUUGCCUUCGCUAGCUCUUUUGGUUUCCCAAGGAUAGCGGUAGCUGGGGUUCCUACCGCUUUCUUCGCUCCGCGAAUGAGACAGAAAGUGAGAGGAAAAAGCACGUUUUCUCUUUGCGAGGUCCGAAAGUGGAGAACGAAUAGCAUUCUUUUAUAGCGGUAUCACCACCAAAGACAACAAUCCCGACAUUCUCAUUCUCAAGAUUCAAGGCCAUUCCUUUCACACCGUUGGCAAAAAGAACCAUUUCCCCAGCUUGAAUCUCGUUCAAUCCAUAAACUUGUGCAAUCCCAUCUCCAACUGAGACCACUCGACCGAUCUCAUCCACUUGAAAAUUCGCGUAAAAGUUCCUAAUUCGACUUUCGAAUAGAUUCGUUAGUUCCGCAGCUCUGGGAGAUAAUUCCAUAAUUCCAUUUUUGAAUUCAGAGGCAAGGAGGAAUACCGCUUUAGAAAAAAAAAGUCAACCUUAUGAACUGAACGAAAGCACUAACUCCAGAGCUUGGGCAAAGUAGCGACUAUUCGUGCCCUGAUAGAUCAGGUCUAAAUAGAUCGCGUUCGCUCCUAAGAGAUUCUCUGCAGGAGUAUCAACAAUAAUAAAAAAAAAGAUUUAAAACUUUAGGUAUAUUUAUACCCGUUAGAGACGGAAUGUCAUCAUAAGGGUGUUGUUCCUUAUAUUUAGUAAAAAGAGAUGAGAGUAGGAAUUCCACUUCUUGCUUUUUCAUUUUAAACAGCAAGGUAGUUGUAGGAAUCUCUUUUUAAAAUAAAAAGAAUUUAUAACCCACUAGUCCGAGUCCGAGUGAGGAAAAGAUUAACGCCCCUAAAAUGCCUAGUGAAAUGGAGUCACCCAGUUGAGACAUGAUUAGAUUAAUUGAUUUCAACAAAAUGAUUCCCUCCAGACAGCUUCACUCCGUCAAGCCUCUAGGAGUAGUGAAGAACUAUAGAAAGUUGUGGUUGGUUGUUGACCAACAAAAGCAUGGGAGAAAACCAAGAACAGGGGGCAUAGAGAUCUCUUAUAUUUCAAAUUGAAUGAGAUUUUGCUUCUUUCUUUAUUUUUUGAUAUGCCGCUUCUUCGCCAGCAAGGAGCGAGAAAACAAAGUGAACAAAGAGUCAAGUCUUACUUAUUUAAGCUGGAAUGAAAAUCUUCUUCUCUUAAUGAUAUUUUAUAGAGUUUCGUUUCUUUUAUCUAUCUCCCUAUUCGAACGAGGGAAGUGAGCUGGCUAACUCCUGUAAGCAGCUUUCUUAUCAUAUACGUAUUUCUCUGUCAUUCUUCCUUCACUGCAAUUAUCUGUUUAUUAUCCGUGUUCUAUCGUAGCUAACCAACACUUGGAGGGAGCGAGCAAGGACCUGCUCGCGACUGUAGCUACCUCUGCAAGUGCAGCUAAAGCAGGGGCGCAAGCCCCGUUUUUAAAUAUCUUUGCUUUCUUUCCACAGUUCCGAGUAGGUCUGCAAGCCUAGGAGGAUCAUCGUACCUUUUGUAUUACAGUUGGUUAAUCAGCUACCCCUUCCCUUCUAUCUUCCUCUUCUUAACCUCGUCAUUCCGAGUUAGGUUUUCAAACCUAAGCAGGAUCACCCCUCUGUUGACUUUCUAUGGUUGAAGCAGGUACCUAUUCCUACUCUCUCGUCCAGAACAACUUCUCUGGCUUAGGGUCAGGGUUACUCACAUUCCUAGUUAUAAGAUUCCUAGUUCUGGGUCUGGGUAAGGGAAGGGUCUAGGUUCCUAACAUUCCUUCCCAACUCACCACUUAUCUCCCUAGUUCUUGAAUUCCAAGUUCUGGGAUUCUUUGAUUCUGAGUUCUGAGAUUGUUAGUUCUGGGACUGAGAGUGCCAGGCUGCGACCCAUCUUUGCAAAGCAAGAGCGAGGCCAAGAAGCAGCAGCGCUCGUACACUAGAAGGAUUUGGGUAUAGAGCCCGCUACGCGCCUUCAAAGGCCGGAAAGAGAUUUCGCUUUGGCUUUGGUUCGCUUGACCGUGUGACUAUGGUUCCUGUGGUCUUGUUCAAAUAGAAUCAGUCCCCUUUUUGGGUGCUAUCACAUAGCCCUAAGCAGGGCAAGGAAGGUAUCUAAUCGACAGCAGAGAGAUAUGCCAAUUAGAGGCACACUUACUAGAAACCUCUUUUCGUUAAAUCAUAUCAUAUGGUCAGACAGAAUUCUUAUCUUAGUGACUCUUAUCCAAUCUCUUUAGGGAGAUAAUGACUCAUGGGUAUGGGUCAGGACAGUAUGAACUUCGAGGGUUCAAUGCAGCUAGAGAGCUGCUGCACCUACGCUUCUCUGGCUGCAGGAGAUGGGGUCUCGAUAAAAGGAAAGGGAUGAGUUCAUUCUCUGGAAUGGUCUCGGAGAUGGCUUCUCUUCCCUCGGAUGGAGCAUCUGACCUUCCGUUGGAGAUGCAAUAUAUGGGGUUCCAUGGAUCCAUUAGUUGGUUCCGGUUCCUCGCUAGGGGAGAGAGCAGCCUUUCAGGAGGAACCUGUGACACCUGCACGGAUGCCUGGCUGGAACGAUUUGACAACGAAUUCAAUCUUGUCUUGGAUGCCCACCCUACAGGAUAAUAUCCAUUAGAAUCCCAUCCCCUAUCUUCUUUUGUUCUGCUUCUCGUAAUUUUCCUUGUUGCUUGGUUGGAUACCCUUCGCCCUGACCUUUUCGAAAGGAUUUCAAGCCAUAACACGCCCUACGUUCCUAUUAAGAUAAGAAGAAGGGGAUCUCGUAACGACCCCCCGAUCCUCACAUAGUAGUUUAAGGGAAGAGAAUGGAAUGACUCGCAAAACAGCGUAGCAAACUACAAGCGAACGAACGAGCAGAAACAAGCUAGUCAUGGGUGUGGUUCCUCUCCUUUCAGUCGAGUUGCUAAAGCACCUCGACGCUGCCAAGCUCUCUGUCUUGGUUAAUGGUUCUCCAAAAGGAUAUUUCUCAUGUUAGGCGGUGUGAGACAGGGGGAUCCUUUAUCCCCCGUUGUUAUUUUGUAUUGCGGAAGAUGUCUUAUCACGGGGUCUUACCGGGCUUAAUCACCUGGGCAUUCUUUCUUCAAUUACCGAGACCUGGACAUACAAAGAUCUAGGCAGCUCAUCUUCUUCUAACGAAGUCAGAUCUUUUUCCAUACCAUAACGUAUAUAGAAUCGAUUUUCUUUUCUGAUCGCUAGCCUGCCGGGCCGCCCCCGCGAUCAAACUAUCAAUCUCAUAAGAGAAGAAAUCUCUAUGCCCCCUUUUUCUUGGUUUUCUCCCAUGCUUUUGUUGGUCAACAAUCAAACCAACCACUAAUUCUUCCUUCACUACUAAUACAGGAAGAAGUCUUGUCUUCUUCUGUUCGGAAUCCAUUUUUUUUUAUCAAAAGAAAGACUCAAAAAUAAUAUAAAUAAUAAUAUAUAGAAUAUAGAAAGAAUUGCUUAAAUAACUCAGCGAUCUAAAAUCAUAGUCACGAUCUACUAAAAGUCAAGUUGAGCACCCGGACCAGAGGUGGCCGAGAAUCUUAUGUCAAAAGGACUAACGACGAUGAAAGAGGAGAAGGAGGAGUAGGAGGAGUCAGACGGAAUCAAAUGAUUACGAGAUAGACAAUGAGACCAGGGAGAGCAAGAGCACUUAGACAAUUCACUUUGAGUACAGGAAAGUCUGCUGGUAGGAAUUCCUCAGGGCGUAUUACGGUUUUUCACCGAGGGGGUGGCUCGAAGCGAUUGCUGCGAAGAAUUGAUCUGAAACGAAGCACUUCCUCUAUGGGCAUUGUAGAGAGUAUAGAAUAUGACCCUAAUCGUUCUUCUCAGAUCGCUCCAGUACGAUGGAUCAAGGGGGGCUGCCAGAAAAAAAUGAACACGAUCGAGGAGUUAGCUCCGCCGCGCAAGAUCCUCGAACCUACCACGAACACCAUCAGCGGCCUCUUUUCGUUCUCUUUCCUGCCCGGGAAGGUGGAUCAAAGAAAGGUAGCUUGCUUCUCUCCUGGACUGAUGGCCGCUUAUGUAGUGGUCGGC